UGACAAGCAAAGAAUAUCUUUUUUGUAAGAUAUUUUUAAUGAGGGUCUCAACAUUUGUAAGUGUCAAACCACUGACAAGGGCCAGUGCAACGGCUGUAAAUGGCAACAAGAAUUAAAACUUCAUUAAGAAUUAUAACCUUAUUUUGAUGGAAAUGCGACGGAAAUGUACAGACAAUUACGGGAAAACUGUGUGUGUGUGUGUGUGUUACUCUUGGUCUACGGCAGAUGGCAUUAUCAAUGACAGCUGCUUAUGGUCCAAGCUCAAUAAUGGAUCGACCCCCUAUAUAGUGCAGUACAUAGUGAGUACGCCAUUUUGUGCUGUUCAAAUGUCUAGUGGGAAUUAUUAUACCCUAUAUAGUGGACCCAAAGUAUCCCACAAUGCAUCACGAAAAGUAUAGUACAACCGAUGGUCAUUAACCAAGUAAUAUUUUCCAUCAUGCAUUGCACUGAGACAUAAACAACCGCUGCUGAGGUAUGACAUUUCAACUAUGUGACAGCAGUUAACGUAAUUAACGGCAUCUGAGCAGCGUCCAAAAGUGCUUUUUUCUUUCUGCCGAUGAGCUCCCUAUAUAGUCCACUAUGUUGGACUCCCUAUGUAGUGACUAGGGAGCAGGGAAUGGACGCUGAAUUGAAGCUAAAUGGAUCAGCCAUCAGUGAUUUAUGAUCUACACCUGUGCCUUUUACAUUGAAAAUGCCUGCCUGCACAGUCCCACUGUGCUGAUAAGAUGACUUAUUAGCCCACAAACUGAAAAAAAAAAAACUGUGUGGGUGAAUUAAGACUGAGCGAGGACUCAUUUCUGUUGUAAUGAUCUGUUUUUAGUCAUAAACAAGCCUACAUUAAAUACACAUUUAUCCUU